AAUGCUGAUGCCAGGACCUUGUCCUGCCAGGAAGCCUCUGAUUAGGGCUGUGAACCAACUUCCUUUUCACAUCUGCAAGGACACUUGGAGGCAACUGCCCAAGGCCACUCUGAGGAGGGUUGAAUGUUCUUUAUUAAAAGGACUGAGGAUCAUGUGUGUUGGUGGGCCUUGGACUCUGCUCUAAGCUCAAAUUUUGCAGUUUCUGCUGUCAUCACAGCUGGGAAUGAGAAAGGGAAGGGGCUCCAGUUGGUCUCCCUCUGCCUCUGGAGCACACGUGGAGGACAUGAGGCUUCCGCAGGAACAGCUCUGAAAGCUGAGUUCUCGGGUCCCUGUGAAGGAGGGAAGCUUGCCUGCCUUGGAGCGUGAAAAAGUCUUGCUGGACAGAAGUCUCACGGUUUAAAACUGGGAAGGGAGAGGAUUGAGAUCACACUAGAAUGCACAGAAAAUUCUUAAAACAAAAAAAUGAGAGAAACUUCAUCAGAAUGUGAAAAGAACUAUAAAGCUACAGUGCUGAAGAGAGGGCAAUACUGGCACUAGAAUGAGAAGAUUCAUGGAACACAGUGGAAAAUGCAGUAAGAGAGCUGCAUACUCAUGGAGGCAACCACUCAAGGCCACUCUGAGAAGGGUUGAACGUGCUUUAAAUUAAAAGGACUGAGGAUCAUGUGUGUUGGUGUGUCCUGGACUCUGCUCUAAGGCCCUGUGGCUGCCUGGUGCCCUGGGAAUGGUCCGGUCAUGGGCCUCAGCCCAGGAUGAGCAGCCAACAAUGCAAUCCCACGAAGAGUGUGCGGAAGGGAGAGGUUACUUCUCAAGAUGGAGCUGCCAAAUAGGGACACUUUGGAGAGUCUGGCCUGAGAACUUUUAGUUUCAAGAAUGUAUUGCUUUGGAAAAGACAGAAUAAAAGUCCAA
rnacentral:lncRNA from 1 species